GAUGAACGCUGGCGGCGUGCCUAAUACAUGCAAGUCGAGCGAACAGACGAGGAGCUUGCUCCUCUGACGUUAGCGGCGGACGGGUGAGUAACACGUGGAUAACCUACCUAUAAGACUGGGAUAACUUCGGGAAACCGGAGCUAAUACCGGAUAAUAUAUUGAACCGCAUGGUUCAAUAGUGAAAGACGGUUUUGCUGUCACUUUUAGAUGGAUCCGCGCCGCAUUAGCUAGUUGGUAAGGUAACGGCUUACCAAGGCGACGAUGCGUAGCCGACCUGAGAGGGUGAUCGGCCACACUGGAACUGAGACACGGUCCAGACUCCUACGGGAGGCAGCAGUAGGGAAUCUUCCGCAAUGGGCGAAAGCCUGACGGAGCAACGCCGCGUGAGUGACGAAGGUCUUCGGAUCGUAAAACUCUGUUAUUAGGGAAGAACAAAUGUGUAAGUAACUAUGCACGUCUUGACGGUACCUAAUCAGAAAGCCACGGCUAACUACGUG
rnacentral:rRNA from 1 species